rnacentral:rRNA from 1 species
CUGGCUCAGGAUGAACGCUAGCGGCAGGCCUAACACAUGCAAGUCGAGGGGCAUCGGGGAUAAGCUUGCUUAUCCGCCGGCGACCGGCGCACGGGUGCGCAACGCGUAUAGAAUCUGCCCUGUACUGGGGAAUAGCCCAGAGAAAUUUGGAUUAAGGCCCCAUGGUAUGUAUUUGUGGCAUCACAUAUACAUUAAAGGCUACGGUACAGGAUGACUAUGCG